rnacentral:rRNA from 1 species
UACGUAGGUGGCAAGCGUUGUCCGGAAUUAUUGGGCGUAAAGCGCGCGCAGAUGGCUAUGUAAGUCUGAUGUUAAAGCCCGGGGCUCAACCCCGGUUCGCAUUGGAAACUGUGUAGCUUGAGUGCAGGAGAGGAAAGUGGUAUUCCACGUGUAGCGGUGAAAUGCGUAGAGAUGUGGAGGAACACCAGUGGCGAAGGCGACUUUCUGGCCUGUAACUGACACUGAGGCGCGAAAGCGUGGGGAGCAAACAGG